rnacentral:rRNA from 1 species
UACAGAGGGUGCGAGCGUUGUCCGGAAUCACUGGGCGUAAAGGGCGCGUAGGCGGCUUGAUAAGGUUGCGGUGAAAGCCCGGGGCUCAACCCCGGGUCGGCCGUGGCAACUGUCGAGCUGGAGCACUGUAGAGGCAGGUGGAAUUCCGGGGUGUAGCGGUGGAAUGCGUAGAGAUCCGGAAGAACACCGAUGGCGAAGGCAGCCCCCUGGGUCAAGAUUGACGCUCAUGCACGAAAGCGUGGGGAGCGAAACAGG